rnacentral:rRNA from 1 species
GACGAACGCUGGCGGCGUGCUUAACACAUGCAAGUCGUACGGUAAGGCCCUUUCGGGGGUACACGAGUGGCGAACGGGGGAGUAACACGUGAGUAACCUGCCCACAACUUUGGGAUAACGCUAGGAAACUGGGGCUAAUACUGGAUAUGUGCUCCUGCUGCAUGGUGGGGGUUGGAAAGCUCCGGCGGUUGUGGAUGGACUCGCGGCCUAUCAGCUGGUUGGUGGGGUAGUGGCCUACCAAGGCGGCGACGGGUAGCCGGCCUGAGAGGGUGACCGGCCACCUUGGGACUGAGAGACGGCCCAGACUCCGACGGGAGGCAGCAGGGGGGAAUAUUGCUCAAGGGGCGCCAGCCUGAUGCAGCAACGCCGCGGGCGGGAGGACGGCCUUAGGGUUGUAAACCGCUUUCAGCAGGGACGAAGCUUUUUGUGACGGUACCUGCAGAAGAAGCACCGGCUAACUACGUG